AUUCUAAUAGCUUAUAAUUAAGAGCAUAGCACUGAAGAUGCUAAGGAAGCGGUUACGCUUUAGGAUA
rnacentral:tRNA from 1 species